rnacentral:rRNA from 1 species
GAUGAACGCUGGCGGCGUGCUUAACACAUGCAAGUACGAACGGUGAAGCCAAGCUUGCUUGGUGGAUCAGUGGCGAACGGGUGAGUAACACGUGAGCAACCUGCCCUGGACUCUGGGAUUAAGCGCUGGAAACGGCGUCUAAUACUGGAAUAUGAGACGUGAUCGCAUGGUCGUGUUUGGAAAGAUUUUUCGGUCUGGAUGGGCUCGCGGCCUAUCAGACUUGUUGGUGAGGUAAUGGCUCACCAAGGCGU